GAGCCCAUGGGCGGCAGCUAUACAUGCAAGUCGGACGGCAGCACAGCAGAGCUUGCUCUGUGGGUGGCGAGUGGCGGACGGGCGAGGAAUACAUGGGAAUCUGCCCAGUCGUGGGGGAUAACGUAUGGAAACGUACGCUAAUACCGCAUGCGCCCUACGGGGGAAAGCCGGGGACCGAAAGGCCUGGCGCGAUUGGAUGAGCCCAUGUUCGAUUAGCUAGUUGGCGGGGUAACGGCCCACCAAGGCGACGAUCGAUAGCUGGUCUGAGAGGAUGAUCAGCCGCACUGGGACUGAGACACGGCCCAGACUCCUACGGGAGGCAGCAGUAGGGAAUAUUGGACAAUGGGGGCAACCCUGAUCCAGCCAUGCCGCGUGAGUGAAGAAGGCCCUCGGGUUGUAAAGCUCUUUUGUUGGGGAAGAAAAGCAUGUGGUUAAUACCCAUGUGUUCUGACGGUACCCAAAGAAUAAGCACCGGCUAACUUCGUGCCAGCAGCCGCGGUAA
rnacentral:rRNA from 1 species